AUGUUUAGUGAGGUUACUAGUUGUCUUUGGAGAUAUCUACGAAAUCCAUUAAGAUUGGUUUCACUGUCUAAACAAAAUAUGCUCAAGAUAGAUUUUGUUGGAGGAUCUCAAAGAUUGACAUAUUUGGGCUUAUAUGGAUCAAGGACACUUGGGAGAACAAUUCAAGUUAUGGUUUCAAGAAAAAAUAAUCGUGACCUCAUGUGUUGUGUUUUAGUUGACCAUGUCUUGAAGCAGGCAACUAGAGUGAAUACUUCAUUGUGCCUCUCAAGAGAUUCUGAUGGAGCAUUUAGAAGAACAAGUGGUGACCAAUAUGAUAUUCAUGGUGAGACUUGA
rnacentral:rRNA from 1 species